UAGCAUGCACGGUCUCUUUGGUCUGGACUCAGACCUGCUCCUUGAACUUGAGGAAAAAUUUGGCACUUCUGCUUCUGACCCCCGGCAUUUCCAGUCACAGCUUACUCUCCGAAUCUGGCUUUCCCUUUCCUGGGUACUCCGGGAAACCAUUCGCUUGGUGACUCUCCGUUCCUGGGACACGCUGGCCGAUGUGAUAUCACGUCUGCCGGGCCUGCCAGCCUCUAUGCGGGAGGAAUUAGGGCAAGUCCCACCGUUAUCUCUGGAGGUUCAUCUCCUUUAUCGGUGACUCUUGUAACUGUGGUGAAGGAAAUGCCAGACCCCUCUCCUGGCUGUUGCCAUAGCGAUUCCUGAGAAAGAAGAGCCAAGCAUGAAGUAUUCAGGUGAAAUUUUUAUCCAACUCAUGUUUAAAUUCAAUGUGGUUUUUAUUUAUUAAAAUAUUUGAAAUCCAGCGAUCAGGGAGGCCGAAGCACUACUUUCCCGAUGACCUUUGCUACUUCCUCUCUGACUGCUGCUUUCUGCACGGAGCUAUCUUCGGCCAGAGCCAGCACCAGCCAGCGUUCUCCUGGGCUCAGGUCCUGUGGUAAAUUCUGGAUAUUUUGAGAUGAGAGACGCUGUCACUAAGAGGCAACAUGGCAGACUCCACAGACUGGUAAAGAAGGGAAUGAAUCAACAAGUGGUGUGACCAUGGUGACGACAGAGGUGUGCUCAGGCGGCGGUGUUUAGUUUAAGGGAGCAGCUCACAGGCAGGCAGGUACUGCUUGUACAAUGCUGACAACCAGAGCAUGCAUGUUGCAUAAAUAGGGACACACUGCCUGAAAACAAAUGUAUCCUUUUGAAGAUGAAUGAAGGAAACAGCCAUGGCCAAGAAAUAGAAUAUUCUACCUGUGGCCAUGAGUUGCAAAGCACUCAAACACACAAUCAAGGACCCCUGUGACUUCUUCAAAUCUGGGUCUAUGGGGGAAAAAAGAAACACACUUUUGGCUAAAACUAUUGUUUCCAUAGUCAUCCACACGCCUGAACUUAAAUAUUCACGUGAACCCCAAAUGCACAUGAAGAUUUCUAGAGCAUAUGAACAGUUUCACGGCAAGACCCACUCAGUGCUGGCUAGGAUGCUGGAUUGCUCUGCUGUCCUGUUCUCUGAGUCAUGGAGCCCAGUGGAUCCAUCUGCACUAGGGUCUUCUAACUACACAGAUGGCGGUCCUGUUUCUGUGUGUGGUGAUAACCACUCAGUUGUUAAUGAGGAAUAAAGAUAGAUUCAAUAAAUUCAGUAAAGACUGUAAUUAAGCAAUUGAAAGUCUUUAAAACUAACCAGUAACUGGUUCUACUUUUCAAUUUGUUCCCUCAAACUAAAUUUGACUUGUCAGGCUGACUCAACUCCAGGUACCUAGAUAACUGAGGGGCGGCCGUAAAACCAUUCCAGAGCUUAGAGCUCAGACUCCACACUCCUGGAGGCAAGCUAAAUGAGGAACUAGAGACUGCCCUCUUGUUUCUCAACAACUUUCAAUUUGUCUUCCAAUCAGGAAUGCUAAUUUAGAAACACCUUGUUCUGCUCUUUCUUUAUAUUAUUGAGAAUCUGUUAUUUUUAAAUGAUUUAAGACAUUAAUUACAAGAAAUUUUCCAUUUUUUUUUAAAAGCAGGUACAUGGUUGUUCAUAUUUAACUUAAUUGCUUAAGAAUAUUUGGUUGAGGAAAAAAUAGAAGUUUAAUGUUCAUACUUCUUUGUUCACUCCUCUUCUGGUUGUUCCCAGGGACUUGAUCCUCACAGGUAAAAUAACUUGAACCUGACCUGCAGCCUCAGGUCUGCCCCAGACCCUUUGGUGCAGAACUAUUUUUAGUAUCCCCACUUUGCAGGUAAGAAACUCACCGGGGGUGGCCCAGGUCAUGGGGAACAAGGCUAGGAUUUGAACUUGGGCACCCUGUCCUUGGAGCCCAUGCUCUUAACCAUAUGCUCUGGGCCUCUGUGCCGCCUCCCAUUUGAACAGACCCAUUCCUUGGGUCUCCUUGAUCCAAGCAGGAUGGAAAACAAGAAGCAUACAUGAGAGUGCCCCCUCACCCCCGAAAUGCCACACUGUCUGUUGAAUUCUAGAAUGGGGACUCCCAAAGUGUGGUCAACUCUAGCAGCAUCCGUAACUGUGCUCUCCCCCUCCGUGACUCUCUGAAGUAAUGGGCAUUCACUAGGACGCGUAAAUGCCGCUGUAUUCGUAAGGUGUUAGUCUCAUUAGAGCGUGGUCAUAUUUUUUAUAUAAAAUCAACAUGGCUAAUGACAAGCAAAUUUUGACAAACCAACUUCUUUUUUUUUAAAGCUAAGGGGGAAGGCAGUACAAACAAAGACAGUUUGUUUGCCUGGAAUAGCACCCUUAAUGAUGAAGACAGGAAAGUGUUUGGACAAUAGUACAAUCAGGUAAAUGAAGAACCUGAUUGUACUAUUUAAAAUGAUACCUGCAAGGGAUUGUGGGUAGCUCCAACUCACAUGCUAUGAUAUAAAACAGACAUUAAUUCUGCAUCCAGAGUAAAUUCUGCAUUGCUUCUUCCACUUCUGCAGGACCUCUGGAUCCUGAUCAAGUUUUUCUUCUCAGGGCCCCCUCCUCCCCACAACUGAGAAAAGGCCCUCCAGUAAACUAAUGAACCCCUCUGAUGGACCCUUGCAGUUUCCACACCAUGUUGGUUUCAUGGAGAUGUCAAAGUGCAGCCUGGGCCCCACCCACACUUCUGUCUGCAUCAGCCUCCCACUCCUCUGACGAUCAUGGCCCUCUGAUGAGCACCCAGUGUCCUACGAGGUCUCCUAACACUCUGCACAACUUUUACAGUAAUUCACAUUUCAUGUCUUUGAUGGCAAAAUUGGUGUUUCUGAAUUAUCUCCACUGCUUCAGCUUAAAAGUUUGCAGAACUUUCUCUGUAAGACCCAUAUUAUAAAUGCAGAGCUUCAAAAGCAUUUGUGGACAAUGCUCAAUAAACUCUCCUGCCACAAAAUUAAUUGUUUUAAAGCCCACCUCAUAUUCAAUACUCUUCUCAUUCCUAGGGAAGGAAGCAAUAUCUCAUCUAGGACUGUGACAGAGGGAUUAAAAAAGGGAGAGAGAAGAUGUGACGAAAACCCAUGAAGAGGAAUCAGAACUCAGUAACUGAUUAUGCUUGUUACUUAAGAGAGGGUGCAUUAAUGGGAUAUGAAUUCUAACCUCCAGAAUGCAAAGAACUUAAAGAAAAUAAAGAAAUGUUUCUCCAUAUUAGUAAGAGAGUAAAAGAAAAGCUACAUUAAUUAGGAGAAUCAAACAAGAUAAAGCAGUCUGGAAUGUGGCAGAGAAAUGUGGAAAUGAACGUGAGGAAGAACAUGAACCGUCCAUAAGACAAAGCCCAGGGUACACUGCUGAACUUGAAUCUCUGAAGCACACCAAUAGGAAAUUUAAACAGGUGAAAAUGGACAGCCUGAGUCACGUUUGUUUGGAGGACCCAACUCUAGGCCUGUAUAGCUCCAUGAUCUUCUGAUUCUGGGAUGAUGCUUCUGCAGGUACAGGAACUGGACUAUGAAGAUCAGGAUAACCUGGGUCGUGGUGGGACUCAGCUGAAUCAUGGGUCACUGUGGCUAAUGGCCAUGUACGCUUCCCUGCAGCCACUGCUCACUCCUUAAAUGCCAUCCCCAUCUGCCCUUAAUGAUUAAAUACACAAGGUAGAAGAAAAUGAGAAGAUCUCAUUACUUUCUUUAAGACACUUUUGUUUCUCCAAUGAAGAACACUGAGUAGCAGGUACCAUGUUGUUGAGAGUGUUAAAGGAGAAGCUUGGCAACUAAAAAAGCCACGUGAGAUAUGAUGGGCUUCGUUUCAGUACGCGUCGUAUAAAUAGCAGCACUUUUAAUGAUUGUACCCAGCAGUACAUUACUAAUCAUCUCCCCUGUGGGUGAAAGGUGACUCACACUGCAGAAUUUGGGAGAGACUAAGGAGAGGAUGGGAGAGCAGGGACAGGGGGACAGGACUUGAAGGUGUGUGUGUGGAGGGUGUUG